AGGCAGCAGUGUGGAAUAUUGCACAAUGGGGGAAACCCUGAUGCAGCGACGCCGCGUGAAGGAAGAAGUAUCUCGGUAUGUAAACUUCUAUCAGCAGGGAAGAUAGUGACGGUACCUGACUAAGAAGCCCCGGCUAACUACGUGCC
rnacentral:rRNA from 1 species